GUGGCUCAUAUUUUAUAUCUAUUGGGCAGCACUGAUUCAAGCAGAAAGUGUAAGGUACAACUGGGCACAUGGAAGCCUGCGUGCUUUGCUGGUUGCUAUGCAGAUGGCAGAAAGAGCCACCUUUGAAACACAAGGACCAGCUCAGAGCACCCUGAGGACCCGCAAGAAGAAGCUGAGGAAGAAAAGAUCAUAGACUGAAGUCCUAUCUGUGUGAGAACUGGAAAUCUGGAUAUGCGAGCACCAGACGCAUGAACAGAAAGAAGCAAGACCAUAUUUCAUGGUCUCUUAGAGGGAGACAAGAUGAUCCAAAUGAAUACCAGUGCCCUAGGUGCUCUGAUAAAUACAGAAGCGUGCAACGGAGAGAACACCUGUUCUUAGGCUACCCAACCAGUGCCUGACUGGAUCUGAGGUUCACUCCAAGGGAAGGAAUA
rnacentral:lncRNA from 1 species